UACGAAGGGGGCUAGCGUUGCUCGGAAUCACUGGGCGUAAAGGGCGCGUAGGCGGCCAUUCAAGUCAGAGGUGAAAGCCCAAGGCUCAACCUUGGAACUGCCUUUGAUACUGUUUGGCUUGAGACCGGUAGAGGUAAGUGGAACUGCGAGUGUAGAGGUGAAAUUCGUAGAUAUUCGCAAGAACACCAGUGGCGAAGGCGACUUACUGGACACAUAUUGACGCUGAGGUGCGAAAGCGUGGGGAGCAA
rnacentral:rRNA from 1 species